UACGAAGGGUGCAAGCGUUGUUCGGAAUUACUGGGCGUAAAGCGCGCGUAGGCGGUCUACUAAGUCAGACGUGAAAGCCCUGGGCUUAACCCGGGAAUGGCGUUUGAUACUGGUAGACUAGAGAUUCAGAGAGGUGAGUGGAAUUCCUAGUGUAGAGGUGAAAUUCGUAGAUAUUCGGAGGAACACCAGUGGCGAAGGCGGCUCACUGGUCCGGUACUGACGCUGAGGUGCGAAAGCGUGGGGAGCAAACAGG
rnacentral:rRNA from 1 species